GCCCGCGUAGCUCAGCGGCCAGCGUUUGUCUUUGUCUUUUCUUAUAGCGUAUAUUCUUACCAGCGAAGGCCAAGCGAAAGACGUCGGUUCGAAUCCGACCAGGGGCA